UAUUGAAACAAUGGUUCCAAGGAAAUGGU
rnacentral:piRNA from 2 species